UACGGAGGGUGCAAGCGUUAUCCGGAUUCACUGGGCUUAAAGGGCGCGUAGGCGGGCAAGCAAGUCCGGGGUGAAAGCGUUCGGCUCAACCGGACCAGGGCCUUGGAAACUGCUUGUCUAGAGGGAGGUAGGGGUCCGCGGAACUUCGGGUGGAGCGGUGAAAUGCGUUGAUAUCCGAAGGAACGCCGGUGGCGAAAGCGGCGGACUGGACCUUUCUGACGCUGAGGCGCGAAAGCCGGGAGCAACGGG
rnacentral:rRNA from 1 species